rnacentral:rRNA from 1 species
UAGUGGCGAACGGGUGAGUAACACGUGGGCAAUCUGCCCUUCACUCUGGGACAAGCCCUGGAAACGGGGUCUAAUACCGGAUAAUACUUUUCUCCGCAUGGGGGAAGGUUGAAAGCUCCGGCGGUGAAGGAUGAGCCCGCGGCCUAUCAGCUUGUUGGUGGGGUGAUGGCCUACCAAGGCGACGACGGGUAGCCGGCCUGAGAGGGCGACCGGCCACACUGGGACUGAGACACGGCCCAGACUCCUACGGGAGGCAGCAGUGGGGAAUAUUGCACAAUGGGCGAAAGCCUGAUGCAGCGACGCCGCGUGAGGGAUGACGGCCUUCGGGUUGUAAACCUCUUUCAGCAGGGAAGAAGCGAAAGUGACGGUACCUGCAGAAGAAGCGCCGGCUAACUACGUGCCAGCAGCCGCGGUAAUACGUAGGGCGCAAGCGUUGUCCGGAAUUAUUGGGCGUAAAGAGCUCGUAGGCGGCUUGUCACGUCGGAUGUGAAAGCCCGGGGCUUAACCCCGGGUCUGCAUUCGAUACGGGCAGGCUAGAGUGUGGUAGGGGAGAUCGGAAUUCCU